AUUGAACGCUGGCGGAAUGCUUUACACAUGCAAGUCGAACGGCAGCACGGGGCAACCUGGUGGCGAGUGGCGAACGGGUGAGUAAUACAUCGGAACGUGCCCAAUCGUGGGGGAUAACGUAGCGAAAGUUACGCUAAUACCGCAUACGAUCUACGGAUGAAAGCGGGGGAUCGCAAGACCUCGCGCGAGUGGAGCGGCCGAUGUCAGAUUAGGUAGUUGGUGGGGUAAAGGCUCACCAAGCCAACGAUCUGUAGCUGGUCUGAGAGGACGACCAGCCACACUGGAACUGAGACACGGUCCAGACUCCUACGGGAGGCAGCAGUGGGGAAUUUUGGACAAUGGGCGCAAGCCUGAUCCAGCCAUUCCGCGUGCAGGAUGAAGGCCUUCGGUUGUAAGCUCUGUCUGGAGGGACGAAGGAAGUGACGGUACCUCCGGACGGAAGCCGACGGCGUAACUACGUGCCAGCAGCCGCCGGUAAAGCUACGUAGA
rnacentral:rRNA from 1 species